rnacentral:lncRNA from 1 species
CCAUUACAUACAACUGAUGAGAUGGGAUAAAGAUAUACUUGAUGGAGUCAAGGAAAUUAAUAGAGGAAUUAUCUUUGCAUGGAGAAGAGAGGAAGUGUUGGUGUAGCUGCAAAAGUUAACUGUCCAUGCAUGGUGCUUUCCACAUGCAGUCAAUAAGAUUAUUAGUGAAUUGAAAAGGAGGAAUUAGUUGACGAAGUUUGUGCAUGUAGGAAAAGAUCAGGUGCUGUCCAAGGGGAUGACGACACAUAGAUGUGAGGAGGGCUUCUAUUUUCCUUUUUACAUAAAAGAGAAGUAGAGAAUCGUGCAUGAGGUGGGAGAGAAAGAUGGAUGUUUUGGGCUGGUUUGGACUUGAUCCAAAGCAAGACAGGGAACUUGGCUUGAUCAAAGUGAUGGCAGAAUUGUGUAAACAAGGAGAGAGAUACAGAGUGGUCAUAUAAUUUAGAUUUAAGGGGUU